UUAAAUCUUUUUACAAUAUAAAAUGAUCAAACACUUGUCCAUUUAUUACAUGCAACUGAGUAAAAACAUGGCUACAUUUCUCAAAUUUGUGUAUGUUUUCAUCCUAUUUUCUUCUCUCCUUCUUGCAGUAACUGUAACCGAAGGGUCCAUGCAUUAUCGCGAAUGCUCAAAGGACAGUCAUUGUCCAAAUCUAUGUGUCGCACCGCAUGUUAGGAGGUGUCUUUGGUAUCAUUGUUACUGCACAAAUUAACAGCAAAGAAGAAUAUAUCAGACAAAGGUUAUUUUUCUGUGCUUUUAUAAGAUAUAAAGAAUAAAAACGUCACUACAAAACGUGCUCCAAUAAAUAAGAUAAUAUGGUUAUGUAAAAUGGUUAUUUAAAUAUAUUAAUAUGGUUGUAUAAAUUGGUUAGUUAAAUAUAUUAAUAUGGUAACCAAUACUUUUAUUUUA